UUAAAUUAUUACUCAUUACCACAUUACCACUUCCAUAAUUUAUAUUGUUUAUGGUCUUGCCACUUUAAUUAUUUAAUUUUGAAAAGUAUUUUGGAGACCUGUUUGUCCGGUGCAACAUACUGUGUCAGCCUGCCACGUCUUGUACUGCUGUGAUUUCUGGCAGUCCCAUUGCACAGGAAAGGAAACAGCAAAACAAAAAGAGUCCUCAGCCUUGUCACCUGCAUGAAACGAGCCCAGACUGAUGGGUUUGUUCCAUGAGUUAUCGUUCUCACCUCAGUUGCAUUGGUGGGAUCCUCUGCUAUUACUGAGCACCAAGAACAGGCUCUACACAAAGGCCUCUGAAGGAGGAAUUAAAAGGCAUUGCACGCUUAGUGAGGCUAAAUGAGUAUUCAAAUUGGCUAAUAAAAAAGUAAUGAGGAAUGCCUGCAGCCCUGAGCCACCUAAAGAAAAUCAACAAAUGCCAGCUACAAUACAAACACUUUCCAUGGUCAGAAGUGGGGAUUUCAAACCAAGGCACUGAGGGCUUAUGGGGAUGACAGGGGAGAAUGACACAGGAAUUGCAUCUGCAGGAGGAUGUGCAAGGGAAAAUCAUGGGACAAUUUCUCACUGAAGGCAAAGACAAAUCCAGUCCACAGAAUUCCCAUCAAAAACAGGACACACAGGCAGACUCCUGCACCAUCCUACCAAGGAGGAAAACCUCCCCUCGGUAUUGAAUGGUCUCAUUUAGAGCUCAGCAGUGGACUGGCAGGCUUCCUUCUUCAGCUUUGAAGCUCAAAGAGUAUCUCUGAAGGACAUCCUCAGGUUUGGGUUCAGGUUCUUCCCAGCCAUCCCCAGGUUGCUGGAGGGGUGGUUUGCCACCACACAUGGUUUCAUAAAGCCUAAGGCCAUGCUCCCAUUGCAUCAUAGUGGUUCCAUAGCAUGGUCCAGCUUGGGAUGCUUAUCCCUGGGCUCACUCUCCACAAACACAUGUGAAUUUAGCCCACUUGAGGCUCCCCACCUUCAGAUGAGUAUAAUUGACCUCUGGUGCUUCCUACCUCCUUCCAUCAAUGAACAGUGGCUUUGCAAAGCAGACAAACUUCAAAAUGUGAAGGAACAAGGAUGGAGAAGUUACACCAAGUGUCAUCCUCAGAGUACCCCAAGUCCAAGCUGGGGUGACAGCCUGCAGUGUCUUCACAACAGGCGUCUCUCACACCCUCCAGCACGACUCCUUCUCCCUGAAGAAGGCCAGCAGAGGAGGGCAGGGAACACUGACUUCCACAUCACAGCUAGAAAUGACAGGAGUGUGAAAUAAGAAAAUCCUGGAAGAGAGCCAGGGAAUGUGUUUUCCAGAAGCAUUUAAUCUGCAAUUGGGCUAAUUCUGAUGUAUUUGUGUCUCCAAUUCUUUGUUUCCCUGUUGCCUGUAUAACUCUUGAUUGGAACAUUUGACGUCGCUUUUGUGAGUUCCUAAAUCCAAUCCUCUCUGAUGAUGUACAUGAAUGUGCAUCUGAUGGAUGUUUUCCAGCACCUUUUUGUUGCCUCAAUUAAGGGAUAAUGAACAAGAAUUGUUCCUAUUUGUAAAACAUCUCCUGUUAUUUCCUGCUUCCCAAUUGGUUGGACAAUAUGUCUUAAUUAAACACAAAGCCUUGCAACUUCUUUAAGGAGAGAGAGGCCGGAACUGGGAAGAGAGGAAGAAAAGGAGGAGGAAGGGAGAGGUGGGAGCCAUUUGUACUUACAGUGACUUGCUUGCAGAGGCAUUUUUGAUUUGUUGCACUAAUGGUCACCACCUUGCAGUUUUCUCUGCUACUGGGGGAAUGGGUAAGAACAUCAGAGCAAUCUCCACUCAAAUCCAUAACUUUAUAGAAUACCAAAAUCAAUGCCUCAGGGAAUAAGAAAUGAGAUGUAGACCCUUUAAUUUUUAGAUAUCAG
rnacentral:lncRNA from 1 species